AGUGAACGCUGGCGGUAGGCCUAACACAUGCAAGUCGAACGGCAGCACAGUAAGAGCUUGCUCUUACGGGUGGCGAGUGGCGGACGGUUGAUGAAUACAUCGGAAUCUACUUUUUCGUGGGGGCUAACGUAGGGAAACUUACGCUAUUACCGCAUACGACCUACGGGUGAAAGCAUGGGAUCUUCGGACCUUGCGCGAUUGAAUGAGCCGAGGUCGGAUUAGCUAGUUGGCGGGGUAAAGGCCCACCAAGGCGACGAUCCGUAGCUGGUCUGAGAGGAUGAUCAGCCACACUGGAACUGAGACACGGUCCAGACUCCUACGGGAGGCAGCAGUGGGGAAUAUUGGACAAUGGGCGAAAGCCUGAUCCAGCCAUACCGCGUGGGUGAAGAAGGUCUUCGGGUUGUAAAGCGCUUUUGUUGGGAAAGAAAAGCAGCAGGUUAAUACCCCGCUGUUCUGACGGUACCAAAAGAAUAAGCACCGGCUAACUUCGUG
rnacentral:rRNA from 1 species